AGCUCGAUGAUUGCAGCCAAUUGCUUUUGGCAAUAUACGCUAUUCUGAGAAAGUUUAAGGGGCUGACAUUGGAAUAUAUGAGAGCU